GAAAUGCGAUAAGUAGUGUGAAUUGCAGAAUUCAGUGAAUCAUCGAAUCUUUGAACGCACAUUGCGCCCUUUGGUAUUCCAAAGGGCAUGCCUGUUCGAGCGUCAUUUGUACCCUCAAGCUUUGCUUGGUGUUGGGCGUCUUGUCUCUAGCUUUGCUGGAGACUCGCCUUAAAGUAAUUGGCAGCCGGCCUACUGGUUUCGGAGCGCAGCACAAGUCGCACUCUCUAUCAGCAAGGUCUAGCAUCCAUUAAGCCUUUUUUCAACUUUUGACCUCGGAUCAGGUAGGGAUACCCGCUGAACUUAAGC
rnacentral:misc_RNA from 1 species